rnacentral:rRNA from 1 species
CCUACGGGGGGCUGCAGUGGGGAAUAUUGGACAAUGGGGGAAACCCUGAUCCAGCAAUGCCGCGUGAAUGAAGAAGGCCUUAGGGUUGUAAAAUUCUUUUGUCCGUGACGAUAAUGACGGUAGCGGACGAAUAAGCCCUGGCUAACUCUGUGCCAGCAGCCGCGGUAAUACAGAGAGGGCAAGCGUUGUCCGGAAUGACUGGGCGUAAAGCGCGCGCAGGCGGUUUCUUAAGUUGGAUGUGAAAUCCCCGGGCUUAACCUGGGAACUGCAUUCGAUACUGGGGAACUAGAGGCCGAGAGAGGAAAGCGGAAUGACGAGUGUAGAGGUGAAAUUCGUAGAUAUUCGUCGGAACACCAGAGGCGAAGGCGGCUUUCUGGCUCGGACCUGACGCUCAGGCGCGAAAGCGUGGGGAGCAAACAGGAUUAGAUACCCCAGUAGUC